UAGCGUUAAAGUUUUGUAUGUGGUUGGAACGUUUGUCUAGGUUUGCCGCUAGGGGCGCUGUUUCAACUGCAUACAAAUUUGCGUUA
rfam:Bombyx mori DNA, contig: Bm_scaf12_contig9942, strain: p50T/Dazao, build 2, whole genome shotgun sequence.